GAGAAAUCUAGAAGACAACUGUCUUAAUUUCCUUGUAGAGAACCAAGUACCCGUGCUGCUGAUUCAAACACUCAGGCAUGACUUAGAAACCAUUCCAACAACGGGGCUGCAAGAAGCCAGAGCUUCCUCUCCUUUAAAAACCUUCACUAAGGAUUUAUGUGCUUUCUAGAACCUGGAAGCCAUGGGAGGCAACCCCAGUGUUGGAAACACAAAUCUACUCCUAGUCCAGAGGGCCUCUGUCUGGCAUCAGUCUGUGCCACACUGAGUGUUGGUGUUCUUGCUUUGACUGAAUCAGUUUUCAAAUAAUUCAGAUGGACCCAGGACACAGCCAUGGAAAUAAGGCCUUUGAAUUCAUCCUGAUGAAUGGAGGUGUAGGACGGCGAUUGGGUUUGGGUAAAGGCUCACAGAGACUUCAGCACACAGCAUGGCGCCCACAGUCUUGUGACAAAUACAGCCAACAGCACCUCUGGAUCCUCACACCAGGAACAGAACAGAGUUUUGCCAAUCAGCUGAACAAGCUGAAGUCAUCUACAUUGGAGUCUUAUCCAAUAUCAAAUGUUUCCAGUAACUACAAGGAGGCAGGCUUUCCUGUGCUUACCAG
rnacentral:lncRNA from 1 species